rnacentral:rRNA from 1 species
GGUUUCCUACGCAACGUUCAUCGGCGUAGGGUGAGUCGGCCCCUAAGGCGAGGCAGAAAUGCGUAGCUGAUGGGAAGCAGGUCAAUAUUCCUGCACCGUCGUUAGAUGCGAUGGGGGGACGGAUCGCGGAAGGUUGUCCGGGUGUUGGAAGUCCCGGUCGCUGCAUUGGAGAAGGCGCUUAGGCAAAUCCGGGCGCAGGAUUCAAGGGUGUGGCGCGAGCUCCUUCGGGAGCGAAGCAAUUGGAAGUGGUUCCAAGAAAAGCCUCUAAGCUUCAGUCUAACGAUGACCGUACCGCAAACCGACACAGGUGGGCGAGAUGAGUAUUCUAAGGCGCUUGAGAGAACUCGGGAGAAGGAACUCGGCAAAUUGGUACCGUAACUUCGGGAUAAGGUACGCCCUGGUAGCUUGACUGGCCUGCGCCAGAAGGGUGAAGGGGUUGCAAUAAACUGGUGGCUGCGACUGUUUAAUAAAAACACAGCACUCUGCAAACACGAAAGUGGACGUAUAGGGUGUGACGCCUGCCCGGUGCCGGAAGAUUAAAUGAUGGGGUGCAAGCUCUUGAUUGAAGUCCCGGUAAACGGCGGCCGUAACUAUAACGGUCCUAAGGUAGCGAAAUUCCUUGUCGGGUAAGUUCCGACCUGCACGAAUGGCGUAACGAUGGCCACACUGUCUCCUCCCGAGACUCAGCGAAGUUGAAGUGUUUGUGAUGAUGCAAUCUACCCGCGGCUAGACGGAAAGACCCCAUGAACCUUUACUGUAGCUUUGCAUUGGACUUUGAACCGAUCUGUGUAGGAUAGGUGGGAGGCUAUGAAACCGGAAUGCUAGUUUCGGUGGAGCCGUCCUUGAAAUACCACCCUGGUUUGUUUGAGGUUCUAACCUUGGCCCGUGAUCCGGGUCGGGGACAGUGCAUGGUAGGCAGUUUGACUGGGGCGGUCUCCUCCCAAAGCGUAACGGAGGAGUACGAAGGUACGCUAGGUACGGUCGGAAAUCGUGCUGAUAGUGCAAUGGCAUAAGCGUGCUUAACUGCGAGACCGACAAGUCGAGCAGGUGCGAAAGCAGGUCAUAGUGAUCCGGUGGUUCUGUAUGGAAGGGCCAUCGCUCAACGGAUAAAAGGUACUCUGGGGAUAACAGGCUGAUACCGCCCAAGAGUUCAUAUCGACGGCGGUGUUUGGCACCUCGAUGUCGGCUCAUCUCAUCCUGGGGCUGUAGCCGGUCCCAAGGGUAUGGCUGUUCGCCAUUUAAAGAGGUACGUGAGCUGGGUUUAAAACGUCGUGAGACAGUUUGGUCCCUAUCUGCCGUGGGCGUUGGAAGUUUGAAGGGGGCUGCUCCUAGUACGAGAGGACCGGAGUGGACGAACCUCUGGUGUACCGGUUGUGACGCCAGUCGCAUCGCCGGGUAGCUAUGUUCGGAAGAGAUAACCGCUGAAAGCAUCUAAGCGGGAAACUCGCCUUAAGAUGAGACUUCCCCGGGGACUUGAUCCCCUUGAAGGGUCGUUCGAGACCAGGACGUUGAUAGGUCGGGUGUGUAAGCGCAGUAAUGCGUUCAGCUAACCGAUACUAAUUGCCCGUACGGCUUGAUCCUAUAACA